rnacentral:rRNA from 1 species
UACAGAGGGUGCAAGCGUUGUUCGGAAUUAUUGGGCGUAAAGCGCGUGUAGGCGGCUUUGCAAGUCGGGUGUGAAAGCCCUCAGCUCAACUGAGGAAGUGCGCCCGAAACUGCAGAGCUUGAGUACCGGAGAGGAUGGCGGAAUUCCCCAAGUAGAGGUGAAAUUCGUAGAUAUGGGGAGGAACACCGGUGGCGAAGGCGGCCAUCUGGACGGAUACUGACGCUGAGACGCGAAAGCGUGGGGGAGCAAACAGG